rnacentral:snRNA from 1 species
GUGCUUGCUUCAGCAACACAUAUACUAAAACUGGAAUGAUACAGAGAAGAUUAGGAUGGCCCCUACACAAGGAUGAUACACAAAUUUGUGAAAUGUUCUAUAUUUUU